AGCGAACGCUGGCGGCAGGCCUAACACAUGCAAGUCGAACGAACUCUUCGGAGUUAGUGGCGGACGGGUGAGUAACACGUGGGAACGUGCCUUUAGGUUCGGAAUAACUCAGGGACACUUGUGCUAAUACCGAAUGAGACCUUCGGGGGAAAGAUUUAUCGCCUUUAGAGCGGCCGGCGUCUGAUUAGCUAGUUGGUGAGGUAAAGGCUCACCAAGGCGACGAUCAGUAGCUGGUCUGAGAGGAUGAUCAGCCACAUUGGGACUGAGACACGGCCCAAACUCCUACGGGAGGCAGCAGGGGGGAAUCUUGCGCAAUGGGCGAAAGCCUGACGAAGCCAGGCCGCGUGAAUGAUGAAGGUCUUAGGAUUGUAAAAUUCUUUCACCGGGGACGAUAAUGACGGUACCCGAAGAAGAAGCCCCGGCUAACUUCGUG
rnacentral:rRNA from 1 species